CCUACGGGUGGCUGCAGUGGGGAAUUUUGGACAAUGGGGGCAACCCUGAUCCAGCCAUGCCGCGUGAGUGAAGAAGGCCUUCGGGUUGUAAAGCUCUUUCGGCCGGGAAGAAAUCGCUCAAGCUAAUACCUUGGGUGGAUGACGGUACCGGAAGAAGAAGCACCGGCUAACUACGUGCCAGCCGCCGCGGUAAUACGUAGGGUGCGAGCGUUAAUCGGAAUUACUGGGCGUGAAGCAUAAGCAGGCGGUGAAUGCCCCGGGCUUAACCUGGGAACUGCGUUUGGGACUGUGGUGCUCGAGUGCGGCAGAGGGGGGUGGAAUUCCACGUGUAGCAGUGAAAUGCGUAGAGAUGUGGAGGAACACCGAUGGCGAAGGCAGCCCCCUGGGUCGACACUGACGCUCAUGCACGAAAGCGUGGGGAGCAAACAGGAUUAGAUACCCCCUGUAGUC
rnacentral:rRNA from 1 species